AUAUCAAUAAGCGGAGGAAAAGAAACUAACAAGGAUUCCCCUAGUAACUGCGAGUGAAGCGGGAAAAGCUCAAAUUUAAAAUCUGUCAGUCUUUGGCUGUCCGAGUUGUAAUCUAGAGAAGUGUUAUCCGCGCUGGACCGUGUACAAGUUUCCUGGAAUGGAGCGUCAUAGAGGGUGAGAAUCCCGUCUUUGACACGGACUGCCAGGGCUUUGUGAUGCGCUCUCAAAGAGUCGAGUUGUUUGGGAAUGCAGCUCAAAAUGGGUGGUAAAUUCCAUCUAAAGCUAAAUAUUGGCGAGAGACCGAUAGCGAACAAGUACCGUGAGGGAAAGAUGAAAAGAACUUUGGAAAGAGAGUUAAACAGUACGUGAAAUUGCUGAAAGGGAAACGCUUGAAGUCAGUCGCGUUGUUCAGGGAUCAACCUUGCUUUUGCUUGGUGUAUUCUCUGGUUGACGGGUCAGCAUCAAUUUUGACUAUUGGAAAAAGAUUAAGGGAAUGUGGCAUCCUUGGAUGUGUUAUAGCCCUUGGUUGCAUACAAUGGUUGGGAUUGAGGAACUCAGCACGCCGAAAGGCCGGGUUUUAACCACGUACGUGCUUAGGAUGCUGGCAUAAUGGCUUUAAUCGACCCGUCUUGAAACACGGACCAAGGAGUCUAACAUGCCUGCGAGUGUUUGGGUGGAAAACCCGAGCGCGUAAUGAAAGUGAAAGUUGAGAUCCUUGUCAUGGGGAGCAUCGACGCCCGGACCAGACCUUUUGUGACGGUUCCGCGGUAGAGCAUGUAUGUUGGGACCCGAAAGAUGGUGAACUAUGCCUGAAUAGGGUGAAGCCAGAGGAAACUCUGGUGGAGGCUCGUAGCGAUUCUGACGUGCAAAUCGAUCGUCAAAUUUGGGUAUAGGGGCGAAAGACUAAUCGAACCAUCUAGUAGCUGGGUCUG
rnacentral:rRNA from 1 species